CCCGCCCUGAGUCCCGCCCUGGACCCAAUCAGUGGACGAACAGAGUGAUGGGUGAUUGGGGCGUUUGAAGAGGAAGAGGCGGUGGACUGAAUAUUCUGAAACAUCUGUUCUCUUAAAAGUCUUGAAGGCACGGCGCUGGGUGCGAAGACUACCUGAACAGUCAAGAUGCGCCCCUGUUGUGGAAGACCUUGUCAUCCGCACUCCUAAACAAGGUUCUGAUGAUCCCACAGCCAAGCAAGACUCAUUCCACCGGGGCCAAUUAAAUGACAUCGCUUUGUCUUGCUGACCCCUGAUGCUGAGGUCGCUGGUAGAGUUCAGAUCAGCCAGCCACAGCGGAGAAGGUCAGAGAAUUGCCAUUAUACCCAGUGACUCAGACCAGAUGACAUGUUCUCUUCACCGUUCUGACACCUGGAAACCCGCCAUAUAAGAUUGCAAAGAUAUGGAGAAAAAUGUGAGGAAAGAGAAAGAGAAGAGGAAGAUCAG